CUGGUUGAUCCUUCCGGAAAUAUAUGAUCGUCUCGAAAGAUAAGCUAUGGAUGUCUAAGAGCAAACAGAUUUAAUGUGAAACCGCAUAAGGCUCAAUAUAACAGCUGUACUUUUCAAGAGCAUUUAACUAAUUACUUAGAUAACUGUGGAAAAUCUAGAGCUUACACAUGCAAAUUGCAUGAACCUCGCGGAACCUGUGCAAUUUUUAAUCAAAUCGUCGUCACGGUCGCUUGAGUUGAAAUCUGGAUAACUUUGUUAAUCGUAUGGUCUCGCACCGAUGACAGAACUUUCAAAUAUCUGCCCUAUCAACUACCAUGGGGCCUUCCUUAGCCGACUGGUUAGAGUCCACGGCUACAAAGCAUAGCCAUGCUGAAGGUGUCUGGGUUCGAUUCCCGGUUGGUCCUUGACUUCCCUGGGCAUAGAGUAUCAUCGUACUUGCUACACGAUAUACGAAUGCGAAAAUGGCAACUUUGGCAAAGAAAGCUCUCAGUUAAUAACUGUGGAAGCUGAGUAGCAAACUCUGUCCCAGUGAGGACAUAAAUGCCAAGAAGAAGAAGAUCAACUACCAUGGUAACAAAGGGUAACGGAGAAUCAGAGCUCGGUUCCGGAGAGGGAGUCUGAGAAUUGGCUACCACAUCCAAGAGAGACAGCAGACACGUAAAUUACCCAAUCCCGGCCCGGGGAGUUGAAGACGACAAUUUACAAUACAGU
rnacentral:rRNA from 1 species